rnacentral:misc_RNA from 1 species
GUAUAUAUAUUUUCUUUCUUUUAUCCAUUCAAAAAUGAGUGUUAUAAAUAAAAAGGAAAAGCCGAACUAAAUAAAAGCACAGCAGUCCCAAUAUAAUGCACAAGUUGGAGAAAUAAUUAAAAAUGUAGCAAGUGUGCACAUUGCCUCUAGAGGCCAGCAACAACCUGUUCAAAUUUAUUCAAUAAUGAUCCUUCCGCAGGUUCACCUACGGAAA